GAUGAACGCUAGCGGCAGGCUUAAUACAUGCAAGUCGUGGGGCAGCAUGAAGUAGCAAUACUUUGAUGGCGACCGGCAAACGGGUGCGGAACACGUACACAACCUUCCUUUUAGUGGGGAAUAGCCCAGAGAAAUUUGGAUUAAUACCCCGUAACAUAGCGAUGUGGCAUCACAUUGCUAUUAUAGCUUCGGCGCUAGAUGAUGGGUGUGCGUAUGAUUAGAUAGUUGGCGAGGUAACGGCUCACCAAGUCUACGAUCAUUAGCUGAUGUGAGAGCAUGAUCAGCCACACGGGCACGGAGACACGGGCCCGACUCCUACGGGAGGCAGCAGUAAGGAAUAUUGGUCAAUGGACGAAAGUCUGAACCAGCCAUGCCGCGUGAAGGAUUAAGGUCCUCUGGAUUGUAAACUUCUUUUAUAUGGGACGAAAAAAGGUCUUUCUAGAUCACUUGACGGUACCAUAUGAAUAAGCACCGGCUAACUCGGUGCCAGCCGCCGCCGUAAAAC
rnacentral:rRNA from 1 species